rnacentral:lncRNA from 1 species
AGUCUGUGUAGUCUGAGGACCCCGGGGAAAACCCUUAAAAAGUGUAAAAACAAAAUUAAAUGCAAAGAGUAUGGAUUAAAUGCAAAGAGGAUGGAGCUCAAUCCUAGAAAGAAUAAAACCAUUGUAUUUGCUUUUUCUAGGGCUCUCCCCCUCCCCCAGGAAAAAAGUCCUCAAAGCAGAGUGCGCGUUUGAAUCCCUCCCAUCUAUUUUCUUUAAAGAAAAAAAAAAAAAAAGAAAAAAAAAAAAAAAAAAAAAAAAAAAAAAAAAAAGAAAAGGGGAAUAGAUUUUGAAGUAAAGGGGAAGUAUGUUUCCCUGAUCUAAUUUUACCUUCACUCUCAGGGAUAGGGGAGCCAAAAUGGCAGCCAAACUAAGGUACUUGUCAGAAUGUAGCACAGGGAAGACCUGUGACUAACCUAUGUUAAACAGUCACUACCUCUAACCUCAAACAAGUCCUCUGUCUUGGUGCAGAUCUCAUUAAUCACACAAGGAUUGUUAGUCUCCUUGACCUUGUGCUUCUUGGCACUGUACAAUGGCUCUUUUGUGAUCCCUUCUCCUGGAAUCAGACACAAUUAUUAAUCAUAGUCCCACAAUAUUUAUCAAUCAAUAUAAGGUUUCCAUAGUCUAAAGCUUUUGGGUAUGUAUUGAUAUUAGGGCUAAUGGAUAUUUUAAAAGAUUAAUAUUGAUUGUAUGUACUUUAAGUAUGAAAAAUAAGAAAGGGAAAAAAUCAAAUAUUCUAUUGAAAAUAAAAAGAAAAGCAAUAAUAAAAAAAAUUCA